AAAAUGUCUACGGCAGGAAAGAGGGUGAGCCAUCACUCUAAAAUUUUUUGUUCGGUUCCAUCGUUGAUCAUAAAAUAGAAUAAAUUUGGGAAAAUAGUGUUGUUUGAUGAAUGAAAGAAGAAUAUUCUAUUCUGCCUCUGUAGAUUCUUAUUAAGCUGACAAAAUAGAAUUUAAAGUUUCACAACUUUUUGUCAAUUUCUGGUGCACUUUAGGAGAUGGUGUAUUGUACUUGGAUGCAUUUAGAAAAUGGAUAUAUUAUGGAACGUCCUGAAUAUUAUUGAUUUGGUACUUUGGUGAGGGAUUUGGAGUAUAAUUCAGACAUUGUUUGCAUGCGCGAAAUACAAGAGUUGGAAUUUGGAAAUGAAUUACUAUCAUACAAGUGAAUAAUGACUAUUGGAGUGGUUUUUGCUGUUUCCUUUUAUCAGAAUAUGGCAGGACUGGAGAAAUA
rnacentral:misc_RNA from 1 species